rnacentral:rRNA from 1 species
UACGUAGGGGGCAAGCGUUGUCCGGAAUCAUUGGGCGUAAAGAGCGUGUAGGCGGCCAAGCAGGUCCGUUGUGAAAACUGGAGGCUUAACCUCCAGACGUCGACGGAAACCGCGUGGCUAGAGUCCGGAAGAGGAGAGUGGAAUUCCUGGCGUAGCGGUGAAAUGCGCAGAUAUCAGGAAGAACACCAAUGGCGAAGGCAGCUCUCUGGGACGGUACUGACGCUGAGACGCGAAAGCGUGGGGAGCGAACAGG